CCUACGGGGUGCAGCAGUGAGGAAUAUUGGGCAAUGGACGCAAGUCUGACCCAGCCAUGCCGCGUGCAGGAAGACGGCUCUAUGAGUGGUAAACUGCUUUUGUACGAGGGUAAACGCAGAUACGCGUAUCUGUCUGAAAGUAUCGUACGAAUAAGGAACGGCUAACUCCGCUCCAGCAGCCGCGGUAAUACGGAGGAUUCAAGCGUUAUCAGGAUUUAUUGGGUUGAAAGGGUGCGUAGGCGGUCGGAUAAGUUAGAGGUGAAAUCCCGGGGCUCAACUUCGGAGUGGCCUCUGAUACUGUUCGGCUAGAGAGUAGUAGCGGUAGGCGGAAUGUAUGGUGUAGCGGUGAAAUGCUUAGAGAUCAUACAGAACACCGGUUGCGAAGGCAGCUUACCAAGCUACUUCUGACGUUGAGGCACGAAAGCGUGGGGAGCAAACAGGAUAAGAUACCCCAGUAGUC
rnacentral:rRNA from 1 species